rnacentral:rRNA from 1 species
UACAGAGGGUGCGAGCGUUUAAUCGGAAUUACUGGGCGUAAAGCGCGCGUAGGCGGCUUUGCAAGUCGGGUGUGAAAUCCCCAGGCUUAACCUGGGAACUGCAUUCGAGACUGCAUUGCUAGAGUAUGGGAGAGGGAAGUGGAAUUUCCGGUGUAGCGGUGAAAUGCGUAGAUAUCGGAAGGAACAUCAGUGGCGAAAGCGACUUCCUGGACCAAUACUGACGCUCAUGUGCGAAAGCGUGGGGGAGCAAACAGGG